UGAACCUUUGACCUCAAAUCGGGUGAGACUACCCGCUGAACU
rnacentral:rRNA from 1 species